AUCGGAAGGGACGCGGCAGGGAAGUAAUUAAUCUCCAGGCCCUGGGCUGUGCGGUGCACCGCCCAGGUGUCAGUGCUGCCGCCUCCGCUAUUAACGGCCGUGCGGGUGGGCCUAGCCGUUCUGGUGGCUAAUGUAAUGGGGGGAAGCUGCUAUAAUUAACUUGUAAUUCCUACCCGAACUAGAACAAUAAUAAUAAAUAUGGAGGCGGCUGUCUCUGAUUGUUCAUAUGGGAAAAGUUUAGUUAAAACAACUACUUAGUUCUCCUGGCCAGUUGCUGGUAACAUAUUAGGAGUCCUCUGACUGCUGGUGGGUGGUUGAAACAAUCUCAAGAGAAAAAUGAUCUAUGUCCAGUGUAUAUAUUCUUUAUGUCCGGUAUAUUGAAUGCUGCAAAUUUUCGUUUUUUGAAUCGCAGGCACGUAGUAGGUGUGGUCGAACAAUGGUGCCCCACAGACGUCCACCUCCUAAUCCCUGAAGCUAGGAAUAUGCUACUUUCCAGGGUGAAAAGGACUUGGCUCUGUGAUUAAAGAUCCUGAGAUGGGAAAAUCAGUCUGGGUUAUCCAGAUGAGCUUAGUGUAAUCACAAGAGUCAUUAAAGGAGGGGAGGUAGGAAAUUCGAAGUCAGUAAUAGGAGAGGUGGCCCUAGAAGCAAGAGGUUGUAAUGUACAGCGUGGUGACUAUAAUUAGUACCGUGUUGUGAAGUUGAAAGUUAUUGAAAGAGUAGAUCUUAAGUGUUUUCAUCUUAAGGAAAAAAAAAUUCGUACAUAUGGGAGGUGGUCAACUUUGACUUGUGGUCAUCACUUCGUAAUACGGUAGGUGGGAGUGGAUUAUGAAGAACUAUCAAUUCCAGGAACAAGAAGUGUGAACUUAAACAUAUUUGAGUGUCAAGUCCUCAGAUGCUACUGAUUUUGGUGAACAGCCUGAUGAUCCACCAGAAACUGAUUAGUAUAUUCUGUCCAAGUAAGUUGUGGUAGAUUGUUAAAGUAAUGGAACCAAGAAUUACACCUUCCAGUGUUUAAGUCCAUGUGUAGGCCCCCUAACUCCUGGCUGAGCCAUAUGAUUUGCUUUGGCCAAUGGGACGUUAGCAAACAUAACACAAGCAAAAGCUUAAAAAGGACUUGUCUAUGGCAUCCCUAAGAUUGUCACGUGAAGAAGCCCAGGCUACCUCUUGGAGGCUAAGAGCACAGGGAGCAGAGACAGACCAUCUCAAUGGAGACCGCAUAGCCCAAGCAGCCCCAGCCUGGGUUCCAGGAGAUCACAGUAUCACUAGGGACCCAGGCACGAAGAGAACUGCCCAAUGGACCCCAGCCCAAGUUGCUCACCUACAAAAUCAUGGGCAAAGAAAACGGUUGUUAUUUGGUGGUAGGUGGUUAUACAGCGACAGAUAAUUGACAUACCCUAUUUCCCUAAAUUUCAGGUGAAAACUUAGAUAAAUUGAAAUCAUGUGAUCUGCCCUUGUCAAUUCUUUAUCUUGAUACCAGCUAAUUUUAUUUACAGUACUUUUCUGUGUAAUUCUCUUUCUCUUUGAAGAUUAGUGUAAAGACUUUUCGGACUGAAAUUUUCCUAAUAUGAAUAUUUUUACUUACUAACAGGGAACACUGCUCAGCAUAAUUUAUAGGUCUAUGUUCUAAAAUUUUAUUCAGAGAUUCAUCUUUCUCUUAGAAAUGCUGCAGUAUGCUUCUUAUAAGCUUUAGUGGUCUACAAUUUGUUUUUAAAGUAUUAUAUGAUUUCUUCACUUUUACUUUUUGAAGGUUUGCUACACUUAUAUCCAUAUUUUCCAUAAACCACACUCUACUUGAAAGUUUACACAGAGAGAAGGGUUAAUGGACCUGUUAGGGUCUUACAGUGACACAGUAGAAGAAACUAUAAUGAUACCUAGGUCUUUUGAUUCAUGUUAACACCUUUAUUCAGAAUUUUACUAAAAGUGGUCAAAGGCAAAUACUGUGGUUUUCUCUGUAAUCCCAUGGGUACCUCCAAGGAGAGCUAGGGGAUUUAAGGAGAAAGAUACUGAAUAGUGAAGAGGAAGAUGCAUCACAUAUUUGGAGAGACUGGGUGUUGUCUGCCUAUUUGCACGAAUAUUUUAAAUGUCAGUUAUUUUUCACUUAAUUUAUCCUUAUGAUAUCCCAGUGAGUUUAGGAGGAUGCUAUUCCCAUCUUACAAGAGAGAAUAGUGGAGACAGCAUAGAGCAUUCAAUUAUAGCCUGUCAGAAUGUGCUGGCCAAAAGAAAUGUAAAUAAGGCACCACUACUUAAUUGGGUCAUUAACUUAGGCCUGGUAGGACUCAACGACACUGACUUCUGGGAAGGAACACCUGGAUUCUUAUUUAAAACCUUACCUAGGGCCACAUCUCCCUCAAUACCUCCUGAUCCCACCUCUCAGUAUUCCUCAAACCUUGCACAGCGUAGAAACCCAGCUACCGCUUGUUAAGUAAAUGUUUGAACUGUCAGUGCUGACUUAAUAGCAGAACAACGGGCUAUAAGGAAGUUUCCUGACCACAAGUGUUUAUUUCUCCAGAUCUUCAUUCUUGGGAACAAUACACAGGUGUGUUGGAAAGAUCACAGCCUUUAGAGUUACAGAUUGGGGCUCUCAGUAAAAGUUAGACAGUUUCCCCUUUACUGGUUAUGUGAUUUUACUGGUUGUUAUAAAUCACUUAGCACUUGUCAGGGGGCUGGCUUAGAUACCGGCCAUAUCCUACCCACAAAGCAACAAAACUAAACACUUAAAAGCAUGGAAUACAGAUAUUAAGCUCAUGAAUUUUAAUCCUGUUUCAUCCUCUGUGAUAUAGGAUGACUAAAUGAAACAGAGUUUUUAGGAAGUAUCAUGGCAUAGUGCUUAAAUGCACAAGCUCUAGAACCAGACCACAUGGGGUGAUAACCAAAUCCUAGCUCUGAUAUUAGUUUUGUAACACUGAGCAAAUUAUUUUACCUUCUGUGCCUCAGUUCCCUCUUGUGUAGAUGCAGAUAACAUUGUAGGGGUUGUUGUGAGUAUUAAAUGAAGCAUGGCACACAAUAAGUGCUCAAUUAGUUACUAUUAUAGUCAACUACGGUAAACCCAUAUUUUGGAAAAUUUUAAAUAUAUAGAAGUAUAUAAACCCCUCAGCCCUCAUUUACAAGCCCUGGCAUGUAAAUGAUCGGGAAAUAUGGAUGUGAUUAUGUUUUAUUUGAAAUAAUUUGGAUUUGUAGGGUACACUUUGAGGAGCCCCAGUGGAAUGAACGUUAUUUUAGAGGCAAAAGGCUCCUUCAAAAUCAGUCGCUGCUUUAUUUAAAAAUAAAAAAGAGAAGAAGGCAAGGAGAUCAGGAAGGUAGUAACUUUUUUUGAUGUCAUCUACUUGUCAUCACCUAGGCAUGGUAAAGUCACAUCUGGCACAAGGCACUCAUUAUCUCCUUGUCUUUGACUUACAAGGUAUAAGAAUAAAGUGUUCCAUGAAUACUAAUGUUAAAAACUGUAAGCUUUUUAAAAAAUGACAACUGUGAACAAAUUUUUAUAUAGAUACAUAAAAUAGUUCAUUUCUGUGCUGUUUUGUUAGAGCUUAAUAUUAGGGAUAAUUUUUUUUUUAGAGCUCCUACUUCAUGUCCCAUUUGAAAUCUGUGCCAUUCCAGGGAAGUUUAUUACGAAGACAUGAAUCACAGUUGGGCUGUGUGGACACUGGCAUAUCUUCUUUUGAAUAAUAACCUCUUGGAAAAUACGUUGUUUUUAAAAGAAUAAAUGCCCACUAAAUAUUUUACUUUACUUCGUAUGAAUAUUGUAUUUUCUUCUUUGUUGAAAUGACAGGGAUUCCUUAUAGAAAAACAAGGUAUAGUCACACAGUAUUUGAAAAUAUAUUUUAAUGCUUACUUUUCUUAACUGUGCCUCCCGGAAAGCAGGAUAUAACUUAACUUGGAAAACAAUAGCGCUUUUAAACUGUUGAGAUUCUUUGUGACUGCUGCAUGGGGAGAGGUCUGGGCUUUUUGCUUUUUAAUGUUUCCCAUAUCCGUCAAGUCUUCCUCAUCUGUUUACCUCCUGUUCCCUUUCUUCCCCUUUCUGUCCUUGAUUUGCACUAUCUACUGUAUCACUACCUUUUAAAUACUCUCCUUAGUAUUCCUCCAUUUCCUUUAGAAUUCCUUUAUUUAUCCGUUAAAGAUACAUCUGCUGCUUUA